rnacentral:rRNA from 1 species
ACGAAAGUCUGAUCCAGCGACGCCGCGUGGAGGAAGAAGUCCUUCGGGAUGUAAACUCAUGAAGCUAACGAAUAAGACGGAAGGGGAACCUUCCGGGAGAAGGUAAUUAGUGAAAAGCACCGGCUAACUCCGUGCCAGCAGCCGCGGUAAUACGGAGGGUGCAAGCGUUACUCGGAAUCACUGGGCGUAAAGAGCACGUAGGCGGCCUUGCAAGUCAGAUGUGAAAUCCAACGGCUUAACCGUUGAACUGCAUUUGAAACUGCAAGGCUAGAGUAUGGGAGAGGUAGGUGGAAUUCUCGGUGUAGGGGUAAAAUCCGUAGAGAUCGAGAGGAAUACUCAUUGCGAAGGCGACCUGCUGGAACAUUACUGACGCUGAGGUGCGAAAGCGUGGGGAGCAAACA